UGAGGAAUAUUGGUCAAUGGUCGCAAGACUGAACCAGCCAUGCCGCGUGUGUGAAGAAGGCCUUCGGGUUGUAAAGCACUUUCAGUUGGGAGGAAGGGCAGUAACUUAAUACGUUAGUGUUUUGACGUUACCGACAGAAUAAGCACCGGCUAACUCUGUGU
rnacentral:rRNA from 1 species